GAGAAAUUAGUUAAAAAAUAACACUGAAAUGUCAAAUCAAAAUUAUCAAAAGAUAUUUCUCA
rnacentral:tRNA from 1 species